AUUGAACGCUGGCGGCAUGCUUUACACAUGCAAGUCGAACGGUAACAGGGUGCUUGCACCGCUGACGAGUGGCGAACGGGUGAGUAAUACAUCGGAAUGUACCCAGUAAUGGGGGAUAACGCUUCGAAAGGAGUGCUAAUACCGCAUACGCCCUGAGGGGGAAAGUGGGGGACCGCAAGGCCUCACGUUAUUGGAGCAGCCGAUGGCUGAUUAGCUAGUUGGUGGGAUAAAAGCUGACCAAGCCGACGAUCUGUAGCUGGUCUGAGAGGACGAUCAGCCGCACUGGGCCUGAGACACGGCCCAGACUCCUACGGGAGGCAGCAGUGGGGAAUUUUGGACAAUGGGCGCAAGCCUGAUCCAGCAAUGCCGCGUGCAGGAUGAAGGCCUUCGGGUUGUAAACUGCUUUUGUACGGAACGAAAAGCCCUGGGUUAAUACCCUGGGGUCAUGACGGUACCGUAAGAAUAAGCACCGGCUAACUACGUGCCAGCCGCCGCCGUAA
rnacentral:rRNA from 1 species